rnacentral:rRNA from 1 species
AUGGUCGACCUCGAGAACCCGGACAUGGAGGAAAACCUCGUCGCGGCGGAGCCCUCUCGGCAUAGAUUUGAGGCCUGGGUAGACAGGCUAAGAUUAUACUUUGACAAUGACGACCUAAACCCCGGCGGCGGCGGCGGCGGCGGCGGCGUUGCCGCUGAUCUCGAAGCCUUGGAGGCGGAGCCUCAACAGCACAGCAGGUGUAUCUUCAUGUGUCUUCUAAUGUGCGCCACUGUGAUGUUUAUGGGUUUCUUCGUGGCCCUGAUCCAGGUCUAUGACUCGCACUCAACGACGGCAUGCAUAACAAUCGCCGUGCUCGUCGGGGCAGCUAUAUGCCAAGUUGUUUUACUCGGUCUUCUCUUCAUUACAAUUCUCGUAUUUGCCGAGUUCUUCGUUGGGAAUCCAGAGGGACGUAGGCUGGUAGAUCGGUUGAUCUAA